rnacentral:rRNA from 1 species
CUGCUUGCGCUGACGAGUGGCGGACGGGUGAGUAAUGUCUGGGAAACUGCCUGAUGGAGGGGGAUAACUACUGGAAACGGUAGCUAAUACCGCAUAACGUCGCAAGACCAAAGAGGGGGACCUUCGGGCCUCUUGCCAUCGGAUGUGCCCAGAUGGGAUUAGCUAGUAGGUGGGGUAACGGCUCACCUAGGCGACGAUCCCUAGCUGGUCUGAGAGGAUGACCAGCCACACUGGAACUGAGACACGGUCCAGACUCCUACGGGAGGCAGCAGUGGGGAAUAUUGCACAAUGGGCGCAAGCCUGAUGCAGCCAUGCCGCGUGUAUGAAGAAGGCCUUCGGGUUGUAAAGUACUUUCAGCGGGGAGGAAGGCGAUAAGGUUAAUAACCUUGUCGAUUGACGUUACCCGCAGAAGAAGCACCGGCUAACUCCGUGCCAGCAGCCGCGGUAAUACGGAGGGUGCAAGCGUUAAUCGGAAUUACUGGGCGUAAAGCGCACGCAGGCGGUCUGUCAAGUCGGAUGUGAAAUCCCCGGGCUCAACCUGGGAACUGCAUUCGAAACUGGCAGGCUAUAGUCUUGUAGAGGGGGGUUAGAAUUCCAGGUGUAGCGGUGAAAUGCGUAGAGAUCUGGAGGUAAUACCGGUGGCGAAGGGCGGCCCCCUGGACAAAGACUGACGCUCAGGUGCGAAAGCGUGUGGAGCAAACAGGAUUAGAUAACCCUGGUAGUCCACGCCCGUAAACGAUGUC